rnacentral:rRNA from 1 species
GAUGAACGCUGGCGGCGUGCCUAAUACAUGCAAGUCGAGCGAACGGACGAGAAGCUUGCUUCUCUGAUGUUAGCGGCGGACGGGUGAGUAACACGUGGAUAACCUGCCUAUAAGACUGGGAUAACUUCGGGAAACCGGAGCUAAUACCGGAUAAUAUUUUGAACCGCAUGGUUCAAAAGUGAAAGACGGUCUUGCUGUCACUUAUAGAUGGAUCCGCGCUGCAUUAGCUAGUUGGUAAGGUAACGUCUUACCAAGGCAACGAUGCAUAGCCGACCUGAGAGGGUGAUCGGCCACACUGGAACUGAGACACGGUCCAGACUCCUACGGGAGGCAGCAGUAGGGAAUCUUCCGCAAUGGGCGAAAGCCUGACGGAGCAACGCCGCGUGAGUGAUGAAGGUCUUCGGAUCGUAAAACUCUGUUAUUAGGGAAGAACAUAUGUGUAAGUAACUGUGCACAUCUUGACGGUACCUAAUCAGAAAGCCACGGCUAACUACGUG